rnacentral:rRNA from 1 species
CACGUAGGCACCAAGCGUUGUCCGGAUUUAUUGGGCGUAAAGAGCUCGUAGGCGGUUGAGUAAGUCGGGUGUGAAAACUCUGGGCUUAACCCAGAGCCGCCACCCGAUACUGCUCUGACUUGAGUUCGGUAGGGGAGCAGGGAAUUCCUAGUGUAGCGGUGAAAUGCGCAGAUAUUAGGAGGAACACCGGUGGCGAAGGCGCUGCUCUGGGCCGAUACUGACGCUGAGGAGCGAAAGCGUGGGUAGCAACAGG